AUUGAACGCUGGCGGCAUGCCUUACACAUGCAAGUCGAACGGCAGCACGGGUGCUUGCACCUGGUGGCGAGUGGCGAACGGGUGAGUAAUACAUCGGAACGUACCUUAUCGUGGGGGAUAACGCAGCGAAAGCUGUGCUAAUACCGCAUACGCCCUGAGGGGGAAAGCGGGGGAUCGAAAGACCUCGCGCGAUUAGAGCGGCCGAUGCCUGAUUAGCUUGUUGGUGGGGUAAAAGCCCACCAAGGCGACGAUCAGUAGCUGGUCUGAGAGGACGACCAGCCACACUGGGACUGAGACACGGCCCAGACUCCGACGGGAGGCAGCAGUGGGGAAUUUUGGACAAUGGGGGCAACCCUGAUCCAGCAAUGCCGCGUGAGUGAAGAAGGCCUUCGGGUUGUAAAGCUCUUUUGUCAGGGAAGAAACACCGGCUCUAACACAGUCCGGGAAUGACGGUACCUGAAGAAUAAGCACCGGCGAACUACGUGCCAGCCGCCGCAGUAA
rnacentral:rRNA from 1 species